rnacentral:tRNA from 1 species
UCCCUGGUGGUCCAGUGGCUAAGACUCUACGCUCCCAAUGCAGGAGGCCCAGGUUCGAUCCCUGGUCAGGAAA